rnacentral:sRNA from 10 species
AAAAGAAAUCAUUCCUUGACCACAAAAAGAGUUAGAAAGAAACCAAAUUUCUCUUAUGGAAGUAAGGUCAAUUGUCGAUGCAAAUGAUAAGCCUCAGGUGGACAAGCCAUCAGAAGACAGGAAGACAAAAUGUUGUUCAAGUACAACAAGGGAAGGGGAAGGAGGCUUCAUGAAUAUGUUCUGCAAAGCUUUGGGCUGCUGUGGACUCUUUUCAGCUUGCCAUGAGCCUCAAACAUCUCAGACCAAACGCACAAAGGCAAUUGCAUGAUCUGUUCUCAUCUGCUGGCAUUCAAUGGUGUGAGGAAAGAACAUGCCAAAAUUAUGUCUAUUUCUCUAACAAAUUUAUGUAAUGGGGGAGGCCACUAUGAGCAAGUGCAUGUAGUAACCUUGUCUUCCAUGGAAGACACAUAAUAUAUUCUUGGGGUCCUCAAAAUGCUGUUGAAUUUAAGAAUAUUGGAAGUCAUAGAAUGAAGCAAGAUUGUUGGGAA